GAGGGUAUAGCUCAGUGGUAGAGCGCAUGCUUAGCAUGCACAAGGUCCUGGGUUCAAUCCCCAGUAUCUCCA
rnacentral:tRNA from 1 species